rnacentral:pre_miRNA from 1 species
GCCAGGAAGAGGAAAAAAGAGAUACUCUAAGAGCAUUAGGAACGGGAACAUGGAGGAAGUCCCAAGGUAUCCAUCCAGAAGUCUAGAACUUGAUGUGGAUUUUUUUCCCGUGCUUUGUAAUGCCUCCCAUUCCUAUCAUUUUUAGGUGCUCCUUCCUCUCCCAAUUAGUU